rnacentral:lncRNA from 1 species
CUUCCCGUCCUCCCCACCCCGGGGACACGCUUCUAGUAGGCCAAACUCCCAGGUGACCCCCGCAAGAAACGCGGUCCGGAGAGGGUCUGGCCCCACUGCUGGGGCAAGGGCUCUAGGCGCCCGGACCCCACGCCCGCAGCCUGCGGAGAACGUGCCGACAAGGACCUGUAGGGCCCCACUCCCCCUCCUCCCUCCCUCGGCGCAGCCCGGCCCAGGGGUCUGUCCUCCCAGGCCCAGGAAAGGAGGAAACCCACUUCCGCCGCGUCCAUGAUCUCCCGCGGCUUCUCCUGACUCUUGCGGCUGGCGCUGGCGCUGGGCAUCGGGACACGGAACUGGGCAGUGGACACCACCCUCCCUCGCAGGCUUCCAGUGUUCUUUCUUGGAACCAUCUGCCAAGCUGUGAGGAAGCUCCAGAGCCAUAUGACAAGACCUGAUGGAGGAUAACUGAGGACUUUGGCCAACAACCCCAGCUGAGCUCCAGUUGGAAUGUGAAUGAGGCCAUUUUGAGUGUUCCAGCCUAUUGGAGCCCUAGCCAACACUCUACAAACUAGAACUGCCUGAUUGACCCGCAGAAUCAUAAGAAAUAAAGUAAUUUGAAGGCCUUCCCUGACUUAAAGUGGAUGCUGCUUUGGAAAGCACUGGAAAAAUGGAUCCUGUCUUUCUUAGCCAAGGACUGGUCUCUUUUCUCCAAUGUGUCCCUAACAGAGUGGUGAGGCUGGCUCUUCCCACCAGUACAGACAUGGAAUAAACUUGACAAGUGCUAAAGAUGCUCUUUGAUUUUUGUGUGGCAUGAGACCUCAGGCUGAAACUUCUCAUCUGAGCCAUUGAAGGGAGCCUCUCAUCUCUCCACCGAGAGGGGAGACCAGAAUGCUCUGUUUCUGGCAGGAAUCUGACACCACUUACUCCUUGGGUAGAAACUCCCCCAAGUCUGAACUAUGUGAUUGCCUGAGCCCUGCUUCUUGUUCAUUAAGACUGCUCCUCUGAAACGGAAUUGAUGAAUUUUUAGUGGCUAUUAGAAGCAUUUGGGAUCCAUAGGCAUCAGGGUUUGAUGCAUGGCCCUCAUCUCUGUGGGCUCCUGUGCAAUGAUUCUCAUCUGUCUUAGUUAGAAAGUGAAUUAAUCUUGACCUUGGCCUCAGGGGUGUGGUUCUCUGCCCUCUUACACAUCUUCAAUUCGCUUCUUUAUCAGAAGCACUUGUUUUAGGCCCAGGCUCCCCCAAUUUUAAUGACAUUUAGACAUUUGUCUUUAAGUUACAUUGCUUUGAUUUUAAUCAAAAUCUAUAUUUCUAGUAUUAUAUGUUUCCAGAAAGUUCUCAUUCUGGAUUGUAAUUUAAUUACAUGGAUCAUUAAAGCUUUGAAGGAUGCUAAUGGGCAGAAAAAAGAGACUUAACAAAACGAAAGUUAUUAUUAGGAAUUACAAAUCACUUAACAUUUCAACAUCACUCGUCGGAUGUGGGCAUUUUGUUGAAAGAGACCUUGUUUUGAACAGUGACAGUGCAGAAGACCUAUGGAAGAAACAAGCUUCCAACUUGAUUUCUAUUGUUAUGCAUGCAUAGCAAAUUAUUAAUUCUAUUCUAAUAGGGUAAUAGAUUUAGAAAUACUAUUAGCAGAAAACUUGAUGUAUUAGGCAAUACUACAUACCACAUUAGUCUAACCGCUCAACUGUAAUUUUUCAUCCAUACUUUCUUGGGAUGUAAAUAAAAUUGAUAUUAUACAAUGAAAAUAAAAUUGCCCACUAGUCUUGCUUAUUCUCUUGG